UACUUUUAGUUUUCCGGUAAUACUGCAGAUGAAGUUAUCACUAGACUUAAAGAAUGUUUGCUUGGCGAAGAAAUGGAAUUACAUGACUUAGUUUGUGUGAAGAUGUAUGUACAAGAUAUAGAUGAUUAUAGCCUGCUCAAUGCUCAGUACAUCAAACAUUCUCUGUCAACUCCUUAGAGUUUGUGUUGAGGUGCCUCUUCCAAGUGAUAUUCGAUUACAAUUGAUGUGUCCAGUUGGAAACGAAGUCACGUGACCACGGAUGAAGAAAAUGACCAAUUACACCCCACAUCUCGCACAACAAUGCACGCUCAGGGCAUAUCUCACUGGCCAGCUAUCGGUCCAUACAGUCA